ACUACUUCACUCUUCUGUACCAAAUUAUCACCAGACUUUCAGCCGAAUAUUCUGUUGUUAUGAGCUUUUGGAUUUAAAUGAGGAUUGGAUUUAAAUCAAUAUACAUUUGAAGCCAGACAAGCUUUUGGAUGGCAACCAUGUUCUGGCAAUUUAGCAUGUUAGCACACAUGUCUGGAGUGAGACUUCAGCUUCCAAAGGUACCUUUCAUUGCCUUGCUUCAGAUUCCCCUUCCUCACCCUGCCGAAAGUGCUCACUGAGUGAAGGUGGUUUCCUGAACCCAGAAACUGCCUGCAACCACAACACUUUCUACCUUAGCUCCAGGAACAUCAGAAGGCAAAUCAGUUAUGAUUUUAGAAUGCCCACAGUCAACUCUCUAAAGUCAAACAAAGGUUUAACAACACAUUCUAGUUUUAAGGCAAGCUUCAAAAGAUACUGUACUACUGGAAGACCACAGACUAUUCCAUGGUCAAGGCUAAAUGGACACCACUGUACCAGGCAAAUAUUCUGGAGAAUACCGUGACUACUGUUUAAAGGCAAACAGAUAGAGUGAAUUGAUAAGGCAGAGGUCAACAAGUGGUUCUAAUAUAAAACAUUUUAAAAAAAGCAGACCCAGAUCAUGGUACAGUAACUUUUAUUGCAGAGAUCAGUAGGCCAGCACAGCUAUUCAUAAGUACUGCACAUACACGAGUGCCUCAUGCUUAUGCCAGCCUGCACAGGGCUAAAAUGGAAGCAUAUAACCAAUUAGUGUUAAUAGGCAAACAAUCAUUAGAAGUGUUAACAAGUGAUGGUGGAGAGGCUCUGUUUUUCAUUUUAUUACUGAUCUCUAGUAAGUGUUAUUAUCCUCAUAGAAUAACAUUCUAUUAUGAAAUGCACAUGCACAGCAUUAAAGCCUUUGAUAGUCCAAUGCUUGCCAGCAGCAGCAAAACUGUAAACAAAGUGAAAGAAUCAUUUCUGAAAUGCCAACAGCCAUUAGUAUUCACAAAGUUUGGAGGAUGCAGGGAGCCAAUAUGCUAAAGUGUAAAUAACAGGAAUUUACUAUGACCUGGGGAUCUAUGGAACCAAUUGAGUAUUCAAUUUCUUCCCAUUUUUUAAAAGAGCCUGAACACACAUGCUUAAUCUCAAUUGAUUUGUGCCUGAACUAAGGUCUUGAGUCUGUUACAUAUUUUCAAAUCUUUUUAGCCAAUAGACUCCCCUAACAUUUUUCUCUUUUAUAACACAGCAAGCAGCUGCAACUAAUCAUAUUUCAUUAUGGUUUUGUAUAUGUUUUGUUUUAAAACAAAUUUUACUUAACCAACAAAAAUGCAACUGAGCAACUUCUGCUUACUGUAGAAAUAAGAUUUUUCUGAAGACUGGCAGAAUUGGACAUGACAUCAGAUGCAAUUAAGACAAUGUAUUUGUUUUAAAUUUUAGCUAGGAGGACAUGGGUUGAGGGGAAAAAAAUCACUUCAAAAUGAACACAUUUACAGGACAAGACAGACUUAAUUCUUGCCUGCUUUCUAUUACUGUUCACAGACAAAUGACAUGAGAAUUAUGGAUGCAUUUUAUAUGACUACCUAUUCAUUGCAGCCAUUUCUUCAGCUUUGACAUACAACCAGAACAGUAAGUGAACAAGCUUACAUUUCUGUGUUGGAAAUAUACAGCCUCCAUCCAUGAGGAAAAGUCUCAAUGGGAACUCAACCCACAACAUCCUGUAUCAUAACUGAGUAACACCAAGCCCCUCCCAAGCCACCUUCAGCACCAACACAACAGGGCAGGGAAGUGCACACAAGUCACUUUACUGCCCUGCAUAGGCUACAUUUAGGAAACUUUACUGAACUAUUAAAUAAGCAAUUAUGACAAUAUAAGAUAUUAAAUACAGAUAGAGUUGUGUCAACCAAGCUACUAAAUUUGGGCUUUGGGCUUUCCCACAGUAAUAUUAGGGGCAUUCAAGUAAGCAUUACGCCUUUCCUUCCAACACACACCUCUUUCUUCAGAAGACACCUAAAAUUCAGUGAAGAAAGAAAAAAAGAAAAACAUAACACAGCAAAGUCCUACUGGGGAAUAGGGUUUUAAUGAACACAGAAAGCAACUAGGUGACAUCUUUAUCAGGCCUCAUAAACCUUGAUUGAAUACACAGUGAUAAGGCCUGUUUAAACUGUCAUCCUCACGAUAACACAGGCAGAGACAACGCGGGCCUUAGCAACGACCUGUGCGAGGGAGGCCCCUCCCGAGGGGGCCACCCUUCCCACUGCUGGCAAGGUCUGUGCUCUGCACAGUCCCCAGCCUGCAGGGCUGCCUGGGCUGUGCCAGCUGCGGGCAGAGGGCUGGGGAUGCUACAACCACGUCUUUCCCCAGCACUGGCUUGGAAGAGCAUCUGCGUCAGCUCACCUGGCUUUGGGGACCGCCAGCUCUCCAGGGAAGAGGGGGGCUUUGAGUCAGAGUGACCUUUAGCACUCAGAUCUGCAAACAGCAAGAAUUCCAUAGCAUCACUUCUAAAGACUGCAAAGACUUCUACCUAUCUCCUGGAAGGCAAGGACAUACUACUCUGCUGAAACAGGACCAAGCCAUUUAAAACCCUGAAGUUUUUUUUCAGCCAAAACCUUAAGAAUCAAGAAAAGUUGGUAUGAUUCAUUCUUGAAAGCAAGUUUUCCAAUGCAUGUCAACAUCAGGGCUUUGAGCAGGGCUGCACAAAGCACAAGAACUUCAACAAUUUUAUUUCUGACAACUUAUAUUUCUUUUCUUUAUGGUAGAAAACCAACUGUGAAAAGCAAAGUUAAUGGUUUUUUAUUCCAAUACUACCACUAAUCUUUACUACCUAAAUGAAAGUACACCCAUGAAGAACUCCACAUUUAAUUAGUGUCAAAUCCAAAGGAAAUCUCCAUGCACUUUCACCACUUCCAUCAGAAACAGAUGGCUGUAUAUGGGGAUAUACAUAUACUCCAGAUAGCUGGAAUGACUUACAACAGCAAAGUGCACUACAAACAACUUAAUUGCAUUACACAGUACUUAUAAAAUUAUUAUAAUAAUUUAUAUUGUAUAGUAGGAAAUAGCCUUCUCAAAAUCUAAACCCAUCAAUACCAACCACUAGCAAAACUGGAAGCUUCCACUACAA